rnacentral:rRNA from 1 species
UUUUAUGGAGAGUUUGAUCCUGGCUCAGGAUGAACGCUGGCGGCGUGCCUAAUACAUGCAAGUCGAGCGAACGGACGAGAAGCUUGCUUCUCUGAUGUUAGCGGCGGACGGGUGAGUAACACGUGGAUAACCUACCUAUAAGACUGGGAUAACUUCGGGAAACCGGAGCUAAUACCGGAUAAUAUUUUGAACCGCAUGGUUCAAAAGUGAAAGACGGUCUUGCUGUCACUUAUAGAUGGAUCCGCGCUGCAUUAGCUAGUUGGUAAGGUAACGGCUUACCAAGGCAACGAUGCAUAGCCGACCUGAGAGGGUGAUCGGCCACACUGGAACUGAGACACGGUCCAGACUCCUACGGGAGGCAGCAGUAGGGAAUCUUCCGCAAUGGGCGAAAGCCUGACGGAGCAACGCCGCGUGAGUGAUGAAGGUCUUCGGAUCGUAAAACUCUGUUAUUAGG